GAUGAACGAGGGAGGAAGGACGAAUACAUGCAAGUCGAGCGAACAGAUGAGGAGCUUGCUCCUCUGACGUUAGCGGCGGACGGGUGAGUAACACGUGGAUAACCUACCUAUAAGACUGGGAUAACUUCGGGAAACCGGAGCUAAUACCGGAUAAUAUAUUGAACCGCAUGGUUCAAUAGUGAAAGACGGUUUUGCUGUCACUUAUAGAUGGAUCCGCGCCGCAUUAGCUAGUUGGUAAGGUAACGGCUUACCAAGGCAACGAUGCGUAGCCGACCUGAGAGGGUGAUCGGCCACACUGGAACUGAGACACGGUCCAGACUCCUACGGGAGGCAGCAGUAGGGAAUCUUCCGCAAUGGGCGAAAGCCUGACGGAGCAACGCCGCGUGAGUGAUGAAGGUCUUCGGAUCGUAAAACUCUGUUAUUAGGGAAGAACAAAUGUGUAAGUAACUAUGCACGUCUUGACGGUACCUAAUCAGAAAGCCACGGCUAACUACGUG
rnacentral:rRNA from 1 species